UACGUAGGGUGCAAGCGUUAAUCGGAAUUACUGGGCGUAAAGCGUGCGCAGGCGGUUUGUAAGUCUGACGUGAAAUCCCCGAGCUUAACUUGGGAAUUGCGUUGGAGACUGCAAGGCUGGAGUCUGGCAGAGGGGGUAGAAUUCCACGUGUAGCAGUGAAAUGCGUAGAGAUGUGGAGGAACACCGAUGGCGAAGGCAGCCCCCUGGGUCAAGACUGACGCUCAUGCACGAAAGCGUGGGGAGCAAACAGG
rnacentral:rRNA from 1 species